AUUCCAAACCAUUUUAAAUAAUUCCAAACCUCAUUUAACCAACUCCAAUCCUCACAAAACUAACUCCAAACCUCCAUUUGAUCCAAACCUAUAACCUAUAUAAACACAUCACUCUCAUUACACCAAAGCUCUCUCAGAAUUUGAUCAUCACUCUCAAAUUACUCAUUGCAAAUUCAACUUUUCUCACUUCAUCUUCUCCAAUACUUCACCCUAU
rnacentral:lncRNA from 1 species